rnacentral:tRNA from 1 species
GGGGCUAUAGCUCAAUUGGGAGAGCACUAGAUUUGCAUUCUAGGGGUUGAGGGUUCGAGUCCCUUUAGCUCCA